rnacentral:rRNA from 1 species
CGAGCGCAACCCUUGUCCUUAGUUGCCAGCACGUAAUGGUGGGAACUCUAAGGAGACCGCCGGUGACAAACCGGAGGAAGGUGGGGAUGACGUCAAGUCAUCAUGGCCCUUACGGCCAGGGCUACACACGUACUACAAUGGUAGGGACAGAGGGCUGCAAGCCGGCGACGGUAAGCCAAUCCCAGAAACCCUAUCUCAGUCCGGAUUGGAGUCUGCAACUCGACUCCAUGAAGUCGGAAUCGCUAGUAAUCGUGAAUCAGAAUGUCACGGUGAAUACGUUCCCGGGCCUU